rnacentral:snoRNA from 1 species
CUGAGGUUUAAAUGCGCCUUGCAUUGGUUGAUGUGCCUGUGCGUGGGAAACGCCUCAAAGAUGG